GCAGAGUAGGCGUAUGCGCGUUAAGUGCCUGCUGAACAGGGAGUUGUCAGCGGGACGAAAGGGGGGAACCCCUGCGGUGCGUAGGCCGCAUCCCGCUGC
rnacentral:ncRNA from 1 species